ACGGCUGGUGGUACAACAACCAGUGACGCAAAAUUUAAUUAUCAGUCAAAGCAGUGUUUUUGUUGCGUCCAUCCGUAUAUAUUGUUUACAAAAGAAGUCGGAAAUAUUGUCACCAGGAAGUUAGCCCAAUAUUUCAUUUCCGCCUCUGGAUUGUACCGGAUAUCCGAGUCAUCCCAAACAAUCUACGGAGACUGGCGGUGUAUGGUAGCAGCCAGGCUACCUUGAAUCUGAAUAAGGGAGUGUUAUCCGCCGGAGAACUUGGCUGUCUUUCUGAUUUGUCUCGUUUUGCUAAGGCUCAAAGGACAGAGGAAUGAUGCCAGGACAGAUCCCUUUUCCUCCACCGCCUCCUUCAUUAAGUCAACACUGGACUUCUAAAAACAGUUCUCCACCGCGCCCUGGAUAUGCUGCAAUUCCUUGGAAUUCUAAAGAGAGCCCACCCAUCCAGGAGACUGGAGGUUCUUCAGAGGCUCCGCAUGACUCUCAGGGUGCAUCAGAUUCCUCAUUGUUGUCAGAGCAAAAUGGACUCCAGUCUCCACCAUCACAAGGACAAGAAGACAAUCUUUCUGACCAUGGAGAGCCAUGCCAUCCACAACAGGAAACAGACCCUGCACCCAACAAGAGUUAAUUAGAGUGUAGGUAGAUAUUAUUUUUCAUUUAUCACAUUAGUUUCCAUUUACAAUCGAAAACAAAUAUUUGUCUUUGGGAGGUGGUUAAUUAUUUUUCAUUUCCAGCACUGGCCCUGUGUUGAAAGAUUUCAUUCAGAUGGACAAGCCUGAAGAGGACCAACUGUCAUGAAACAUUUAACAACUAAGCAGUUGAUAUGUUAAUAUAUUCACCACCACAUUUUUGUGUAUUAGCACACUAAAUAUCAAAAAACAAAUGCAGUUCACCCUCAUAAGAACAAUUACAAACAAAGAUGUGAUCUAAUCAUAAUAAAUAUGUUGGGGCCUUUCAUGCAUCUUCUCCCUGUGUCAGCAUGGGUUCUCUCCAGGUACUCCCGGUACGCAACCUCCGCUCCUAAAUUGGCCAUCUCUGUCUCCCUGACUCUCACCCAGUGACAGUUGGGAUACUGCAGAAUUCCCAUUUCAUACAAUGUUUUCUCCAGCUCAUUUUGUGCCAACAGCCAGUCUCCUGAUGGGAUGAUUUCUAUGUAUCUACUGAGUUUCUGUGUCUGUACAGACUGUACACUGUUACACACUUGUUGAACUUCUCUCUUCUUGCAAGAAUAAAACUACACUGACAA